rnacentral:ncRNA from 2 species
CGAGGUCACUCUGGAAAGCAGGACCCGCCCCGGGAGCGCCGUUCACGGGACGGGUCUUCACCGAAGGUGAAAGCCGUCCCGUCAAGGGGCGGUGAAACUCUCAGGUUCUGAUGACAGAGGGGGAGGC